GAUAGAGUACUCGGCUACGAACCGAGCGGUCGGAGGUUCGAAUCCUCCCGGAUGCACCA
rnacentral:tRNA from 4 species